GACAGAGGGUGCGAACGUUGUUCGGAAUUACUGGGCGUAAAGCGCGUGUAGGCGGCAAUGCAAGUCGGGCGUGAAAUCCCACGGCUCAACCGUGGAAGUGCACUCGAAACUGCAUAGCUAGAGUCCUGGAGAGGAAGGUGGAAUGCUUGGUGUAGAGGUGAAAUUCGUAGAUAUUCGCAAGAACACCGGUGGCGAAGGCGGCUCACUGGCUCAUAUCUGACGCUCAGGCGCGACAGCGUGGGGAUCAAACAGG
rnacentral:rRNA from 1 species